UACAGAGGUCUCAAGCGUUGUCCGGAAUUAUUGGGCGUAAAGAGCUCGUAGGCGGCUUGUCGCGUCGGAUGUGAAAGCCCGGGGCUUAACUCCGGGUCUGCAUUCGAUACGGGCAGGCUAGAGUUCGGUAGGGGAGAUCGGAAUUCCUGGUGUAGCGGUGAAAUGCGCAGAUAUCAGGAGGAACACCGGUGGCGAAGGCGGAUCUCUGGGCCGAUACUGACGCUGAGGAGCGAAAGCGUGGGGAGCGAACAGG
rnacentral:rRNA from 1 species